GAGCAGGCGUUUGGAUCAUUUUGAAGAGGAGUUCUGGGUUAGAAAACAAAGGUUGUCUGGCUGUCGGCACUUGGUGUGUGACCAGUCCAUUCCUGGCCUCCGGCAAACCACAGGAGCCAUGUGAAGUGAUAUUUACCCUCCUGGCUUCAUUUACCAUUUUACACCCUGUUUCAAAACUAUUUAUCACCUACAUGUUCAGACCCAUAUAAUCAACUGCCAGCCAGACAUCCUGGAAUGUGAAGUCAAGUGGGCCUUAGAAAGCAUCACUACGAACAAAG
ensembl:lncRNA